rnacentral:rRNA from 1 species
ACUGGGCGUUAAGUUGCAGGGUAUAGACCCGAAACCCGGUGAUCUAGCCAUGGGCAGGUUGAAGGUUGGGUAACACUAACUGGAGGACCGAACCGACUAAUGUUGAAAAAUUAGCGGAUGACUUGUGGCUGGGGGUGAAAGGCCAAUCAAACCGGGAGAUAGCUGGUUCUCCCCGAAAGCUAUUUAGGUAGCGCCUCGUGAACUCAUCUUCGGGGGUAGAGCACUGUUUCGGCUAGGGGGUCAUCCCGACUUACCAACCCGAUGCAAACUGCGAAUACCGAAGAAUGUUAUCACGGGAGACACACGGCGGGUGCUAACGUCCGUCGUGAAGAGGGAAACAACCCAGACCGCCAGCUAAGGUCCCAAAGUCACAGUUAAGUGGGAAACGAUGUGGGAAGGCACAGACAGCCAGGAUGUUGGCUUAGAAGCAGCCAUCAUUUAAAGAAAGCGUAAUAGCUCACUGGUCGAGUCGGCCUGCGCGGAAGAUGUAACGGGGCUAAACUGUGCACCGAAGCUGCGGCAGCGACACUAUGUGUUGUUGGGUAGGGGAGCGUU